rnacentral:siRNA from 1 species
UCUGUUUUGAUCAUAUCAGUGGU